GACGAACGCUGGCGGCGUGCUUAACACAUGCAAGUCGAACGGAAAGGCCCUGCUUUUGUGGGGUGCUCGAGUGGCGAACGGGUGUGUAACACGUGAGUAACCUGCCCUUGACUUUGGGAUAACUUCAGGAAACUGGGGCUAAUACCGGAUAGGAGCUCCUGCUGCAUGGUGGGGGUUGGAAAGUUUCGGCGGGUGGGGAUGGACUCGCGGCUUAUCAGCUUGUUGGUGGGGUAGUGGCUUACCAAGGCUUUGACGGGUAGCCGGCCUGAGAGGGUGACCGGCCACAUUGGGACUGAGAUACGGCCCAGACUGCUACGGGAGGCAGCAGUGGGGAAUAUUGCACAAUGGGCGGAAGCCGGAUGCAGCAACGCCGCGUGCGGGAUGACGGCUUUCGGGUUGUAAACCGCUUUCGCCUGUGACGAAGCGUGAGUGACGGUAAUGGGUAAAGAAGCACCGGCUAACUACGUG
rnacentral:rRNA from 1 species